AUUGAACGCUGGCGGCAGGCCUAACACAUGCAAGUCGAGCGGUAGAGAGGUGCUUGCACCUCUUGAGAGCGGCGGACGGGUGAGUAAUGCCUAGGAAUCUGCCUGGUAGUGGGGGAUAACGUUCGGAAACGGACGCUAAUACCGCAUACGUCCUACGGGAGAAAGCAGGGAACCUUCGGGCCUUGCGCUAUCAGAUGAGCCUAGGUCGGAUUAGCUAGUUGGUGAGGUAAUGGCUCACCAAGGCGACGAUCCGUAACUGGUCUGAGAGGAUGAUCAGUCACACUGGAACUGAGACACGGUCCAGACUCCUACGGAGGCAGCAGUGGGGAAUAUUGGACAAUGGGCGAAAGCCUGAUCCAGCCAUGCCGCGUGUGUGAAGAAGGUCUUCGGAUUGUAAAGCACUUUAAGUUGGGAGGAAAGGUACUUACCUAAUACGUGAGUAUUUUGACGUUACCGACAGAAUAAGCACCGGCUAACUCUGUGCCAGCCGCCGCGGUAACAC
rnacentral:rRNA from 1 species